GACGAACGCUGGCGGCGUGCCUAAUACAUGCAAGUUGAGCGAUGAAGAUUGGUGCUUGCACCAAUUUGAAGAGCAGCGAACGGGUGAGUAACGCGUGGGGAAUCUGCCUUUGAGCGGGGGACAACAUUUGGAAACGAAUGCUAAUACCGCAUAACAACUUUAAACAUAAGUUUUAAGUUUGAAAGAUGCAAUUGCAUCACUCAAAGAUGAUCCCGCGUUGCAUUAGCUAGUUGGUGAGGUAAAGGCUCACCAAGGCGAUGAUACAUAGCCGACCUGAGAGGGUGAUCGGCCACAAUGGGACUGAGACACGGCCCAAACUCCUACGGGAGGCAGCAGUAGGGAAUCUUCGGCAAUGGACGAAAGUCUGACCGAGCAACGCCGCGUGAGUGAAGAAGGUUUUCGGAUCGUAAAACUCUGUUGGUAGAGAAGAACGUUGGUGAGAGUGGAAAGCUCAUCAAGUGACGGUAACUACCCAGAAAGGGACGGCUAACUACGUG
rnacentral:rRNA from 1 species